CUUUUCCAUGGCGCGGAGCUUGGCGACGUUCUUCUGAUGGGCGUCGUAAGUCUCGGUGAAGGCGUGCCCGCCGGUGCCGUCGGCGACGAAGA
rnacentral:tRNA from 2 species